UGGGGAAUAUUGCACAAUGGGCGCAAGCCUGAUGCAGCCAUGCCGCGUGUAUGAAGAAGGCCUUCGGGUUGUAAAGUACUUUCAGCGGGGAGGAAGGCGAUAAGGUUAAUAACCUUGUCGAUUGACGUUACCCGCAGAAGAAGCACCGGCUAACUCCGUGCCAGCAGCCGCGGUACUACGGAGGGUGCAAGCGUUAAUCGGAAUUACUGGGCGUAAAGCGCACGCAGGCGGUCUGUCAAGUCGGAUGAGAAAUCCCCGGGCUCAACCUGGGAACUGCAUUCGAAACUGGCAGGCUAGAGUCUUGUAGAGGGGGGUAGAAUUCCAGGUGUAGCGGUGAAAUGCGUAGAGAUCUGGAGGAAUACCGGUGGCGAAGGCGGCCCCCUGGACAAAGACUGACGCUCAGGUGCGAAAGCGUGGGGAGCAAACA
rnacentral:rRNA from 1 species